CUAUAGCCCCGAUUGCAGUGGAAAUCCUUAUGGCCCGGGGUUCGGGGCAUAAGAUUGCAACGGAAAGCGGGACCAUUG
rfam:Flavobacterium sp. LM5 Flavobacterium_sp_LM5_contig1, whole genome shotgun sequence.